GGGGUGGGCGGUCCAGUUGUGUCCCCUGCUAAGGCCGGGCGUCUACCUUCUGGGUACCACUCCACCAGGAGCGCGGCGACUUCAGGACGCGACCCGCUCCACUUCAAGAGGCCAGUCUUUCUGCGUUCCUGUGCCUGAGAAGAUAACCCAGACCAAAGACUGCGCAGCACAGAUUCAAGC
rnacentral:lncRNA from 14 species